GAUCCUGGCUCAGGAUGAACGCUAGCUACAGGCUUAACACAUGCAAGUCGAGGGGAAACGACAUCGAAAGCUUGCUUUUGAUGGGCGUCUACCGGCGCACGGGUGAGUAACGCGUAUCCAACCUGCCCAUCACUUGGGAAUAACCUUGCGAAAGUAAGACUAAUGCCCAAUGAUAUCCCACGAAGGCAUCCGAAUGGGAUUAAAGAUUUAUCGGUGAUGGAUGGGCAUGCGU
rnacentral:rRNA from 1 species